rnacentral:rRNA from 1 species
CCUACGGGAGGCAGCAGUGAGGAAUAUUGGUCAAUGGACGAGAGUCUGAACCAGCCAAGUAGCGUGAAGGAUGACUGCCCUAUGGGUUGUAAACUUCUUUUAUAUGGGAAUAAAACAGGGUAUGCAUACCCUCUUGUAUGUACCAUAUGAAUAAGGAUCGGCUAACUCCGUGCCAGCAGCCGCGGUAAUACGGAGGAUCCGAGCGUUAUCCGGAUUUAUUGGGUUUAAAGGGAGCGUAGGUGGAUUGUUAAGUCAGUUGUGAAAGUUUGCGGCUCAACCGUAAAAUUGCAGUUGAAACUGGCAGUCGUGAGUACAGUAGAGGUGGGCGGAAGUCGUGGUGUAGCGGUGAAAUGCUUAGAUAUCACGAAGAACUCCGAUUGCGAAGGCAGCUCACUGGACUGCAACUGACACUGAUGCUCGAAGUGUGGGUAUCAAACAGGAUUAGAUACCCGAGUAGUC